rnacentral:rRNA from 1 species
CCUACGGGCGGCAGCAGUGGGGAAUAUUGCACAAUGGGCGCAAGCCUGAUGCAGCCAUGCCGCGUGUGUGAAGAAGGCCUUCGGGUUGUAAAGCACUUUCAGCGGGGAGGAAGGCGGUGAGGUUAAUAACCUCAUCGAUUGACGUUACCCGCAGAAGAAGCACCGGCUAACUCCGUGCCAGCAGCCGCGGUAAUACGGAGGGUGCAAGCGUUAAUCGGAAUUACUGGGCGUAAAGCGCACGCAGGCGGUCUGUCAAGUUGGAUGUGAAAUCCCCGGGCUCAACCUGGGAACUGCAUUCGAAACUGGCAGGCUAGAGUCUUGUAGAGGGGGGUAGAAUUCCAGGUGUAGCGGUGAAAUGCGUAGAGAUCUGGAGGAAUACCGGUGGCGAAGGCGGCCCCCUGGACAAAGACUGACGCUCAGGUGCGAAAGCGUGGGGAGCAAACAGGAUUAGAUACCCUAGUAGUC